GGUAACACGUAUCCAACCUGCCGUCUACUCUUGGCCAGCCUUCUGAAAGGAAGAUUAAUCCAGGAUGGCAUCAUGAGUUCACAUGUUCACAUGAUUAAAGGUAUUCCGGUAGACGAUGGGGAUGCGUUCCAUUAGAUAGUAGGCGGGGUAACGGCCCACCUAGUCUUCGAUGGAUAGGGGUUCUGAGAGGAAGGUCCCCCACAUUGGAACUGAGACACGGUCCAA
rnacentral:rRNA from 1 species